rnacentral:rRNA from 1 species
GACCGUGCAAAGGUAGCAUAAUCAUUUGCCUUAUAAUUGAAGGCUAGUAUGAAUGGUUUGACGAGAAUUAAGCUGUCUCUUUUCAAUUAUAUAUAAUUUUAUAUAUAGGUGAAGAAGCCUGUAUUCUAUUGAAAGACAAGAAGACCCUAUCGAGCUUUAAAGAAUUUAUAGGACCUACUAAGUAUUUAUAAACAAAUAGGGCCAAUAAGAACUUUGGUUGGGGCGACUGAGGAACAGAUAAAGCUUCCUUUAAGUUGUAAAGACUUGCUGGUAUUGAUCCAAUAUAUUUGAUUAAAGGAAUUAGUUACCGUAGGGAUAACAGCAUAAUCCCUUUUGAGAGCUCUUAUCGAAAAGGGGGUUUGUGACCUCGAUGUUGGACCAGAAUACCCAGAAGAUGCAGCCGUCUUCAAUGGUUGGUCUGUUCGACCAUUAAAAUUCUACGUGAUCUGAGUUCAGACCGGCGUGAGCCAGGUCAGUUUCUAUCUUCAAUUUAUAGGAUGGCCUUAGUACGAAAGGACCAGGCCAUUGCAAGUUUUGUAGUUACAUGAUUAAAUAUAAAGAGAAAUUUAGCAGAUAAAAAUCAAAUUAGCAAAGAUGAAUGCAAUUGACUUAGGAUCAAUAGACAUAGGUGAAAUCCCUUUAUUUGAUAAAUAAGGAUGGCAGAAGAA